rnacentral:tRNA from 1 species
GGGGGUAGUUCAAUUUGGUAGAACAGUGGUUUCCAAAACCGAAGGUUGUGGGUUCAAGUCCCGCCUUCCC